rnacentral:lncRNA from 11 species
CUGAGCUGGCAUUUGGAAGCCUUUUCUUUUUCACCAUGUCAUUCCACAGAAUGCUGUGGUUUUCCUCUGUUGUAGUUUUGUCACAGUUCCUCUUCUGACCUAGCUGCUUUCUUUGGGUGAGAGGGACAUAGCAGAGGAGUAUCGGUCUUCUUUUCCCAAGGACAUCUGCAUCAUCCGCAUGAAACGGUUACUUUUCAUAUUUGGGGUCUUGGCAACCCUAGCUCCAAUAAAAACUCGCUCUCCAAAUGAAAGAAAGGUAGAUGUUGGAUCAGAAGUCCAGAUUUCCUGCAAAUUGAAAGGAACCAAAGUGACAUGGUAUUGGAUUCCACGCUAUCCCGUCUGCCUUGGCAUAAAGGGUGAUAAUAAGGGAGAUAGAAAUUUUCUCUGUGAUUUCUAACACAAGUCAAACGCGUGAGAGAUUUUGCGGUCGCUUGAACCAACAAUUAGAAAAAGAGAAGGUAACCUCUGUCAUCCUCAAACCUCUCUACAUGAAUGACUCGGGUAUUUUCUACUGUUCUAAUGGUAGCAAGGAAUCAGCACGGAUCUCAGUCACUGUGAAACCAGGUUAUCAAAAUGGGAUUACCCAUAACUACUCAGGGGAAAAGAAAAGCAGGAUAAUAACAAUGACCUGCAACGAAUGUAAGAACAAGAUGAAGAAGGGGAUUAAUAGAGAUGGCAUCAUUAUCAACUGGACGCUAAAUGGCAAUCCUUCUUCUGAAGAAAACAUUGGCAGUGUAACAAGGAAGAGCCUAAGACUCCAAAUACCCUUUGGGCGUUACUUUGGUCUGUGGAAAUGCAUCCGUCCUAAUUGCCUUACAGAGUUUGAUGGCUACUGCUUGGGAAAUGAUUCAGAAACUUCAAAGAAUUCAGGUGAUGUGGAAACAACUGCAUCUCCAACAGCUCAAUAUGAGAAAAUGAAUUCUGACCCAUAUGUGAUCGGUGGUAGCGUUGCUGUAGUCCUCAUCCUUUUUUUGAUAUGUGUCAUCAUUUUCAUCAUUUGCAGAAGGAGCCGUUCAC